CAUCCCCUGCAUGUGUAAAUCUACAAUUAUCCAUCAUAGAUCUUCACAGAGUUCCUUAGACUUUUCCAGUGUUCUAGACAUCGGUCAAUACCAUGACUGCUGGCAACCAACUUUUUAUGCUGGAAAAGAGAAACUACCAAUUGUAGUCAACUGGUAGUUUUGACAAGUCAAUAGGUAAAAGCCUUGUCAAGUUAAGAUUCUGUAGAACCCUCAGCACCACUUAUUAAAACAUAGUGAAGUGAAUGUAUAGAUUUAAGCAUACAUAUAGUUUUUGCACUUUGUAGAUUAGAGACAAUCCAUCAAUUUAAACUUAGGAACCAAAUUCUUGUUUUAAGUAAUAUAAGGUGUUGUACAAUCAGUCCACAUUGGAAAAGGGUUAGGGUUAAGACUCAAGUGACUACUGUGACUACAACUGUAAAUGUGCAUACUUUUCAGAUGUUAGACAUUUCUGUAUUGUAAAUGCUUUUUGAUUGAUAUGAGGAAAUAUUCUAUAAGUCUGAGGUACUGGAUUUCUGAUUUUCACAUGCUGUUAGCCAUAGUCAUUGAUAUUAAAACAAAAUAAGCUAUUUCACUUUGUUUAAUGAAUAGGAAUGAAAUAGGAAAUAUAUAUGUAAAUUUAUCCCCUUUAAAUCAAGUAAAAACAAGAAUAUUUUUACCAAAUUAUCAGUUUUUUAAAAUAGACUCAUAAAGGGUAACUUUUGCAGUGGACAUGAAAGGGGAAAAUGGGAGAAAAUUAUAAAGAUCAGACCUUUUUCUUGUAGCAGUCUGUAAUGAGUUUUAUUUAAGCAGUGAAGUUGGGCAUUUUGAUAUGGGAGUCUGUGGAGAUUGAGUUGCUUUUGGAGGCAUCCAUGAAACUGCAUUUUCUGGCUCCCUGAAAUUUGCUUCCUUUUUAAAAAAAAUCCUGAAAGGGAAUUGGGAAAGACCAAAAAAAAUAAUGGUUUAAGUAAACCAUUGUUUUUUGUAUAUAUUUAAGCAUAUAUACGCAUGCUUAAAUAUAUACUUCACUCUCUUUUAAUCCAGUUUCUGGGUAACUAAACUAUAAUGAUUUGCUAAUUAUCACACGUUUUGCAUUAGAUUUUUACCGAGGUAAAAUUCUUUCACUGUGUUGCUGGUGUGGUUGUGAUUUUUUUUUCUUUUUCUUUUUUAAUGAAAGAGGUCAUAAAACAUUUUAAAUUUCAUUAGGUCAGCCAUGAAGAAACUUAUAGAACGCCCAGCAUUAUUGUUGCCUGAGGGAUGGCAACAAGCACAAAAGUCUGCUUGUGUGAAACGAAGAGACUUGUAUGACAGCUAUUUACCCAGCUGAUGUCACCUGCUACAAAGGAGAAACGAACAAAAAGUGACUGCGCAUCUCAAGCAUCUGAUAAACAUAAGGAGGGUGACAGUGAGGAAAGGAAGAGAGAGAAACAAGAGAAAGUAAAUAAAAUGGAGUCUUUGGCCAAAGAACUGGAUGAACUGUUAAAACAAGAUGGACUGGGUUUUAUAACUCCAGUUACUGGCUUUUACUGCCAGAACUGUGAGGAGUUCAUUGGAGAUUUGAAGUCUGCUGAAAACCAUGCAGCUAUCCGCCAUCAUAGUAACUCUAUUGCAAAAGAACAGACGGACAGGCACUCUAAAGACAUCAAAGGACACCCACAUCAUUACAGUCCCUCCAGUAAUCGACACCCUGACCCCCCAGACAGGAGAGAUCACAGGGGUUAUGGUUACCGCGGGGAUUCAGGAAACCACCGGAAUAGCACAGACCAUCUACGGAAUUGGAAGGAUGGCAAAGAUUUCAGAAGCCGAUACCAUGAUGAUGACCACAAAAGUCACAAGGAUAGAGAUAAAAACAUCUUCUUGAAAGAGGAAAUGAAAAAGGAGCGAAUGUUUAUAACAGUCUCCGAUGGACUGACACCUUCAACUUCUAACAUCAGGGUCAAGGAGGAGGUGGACAAGGAGAAGGCCACUGGAAGCCAUGGUAAAGUUAAAGCGAAAGACCUAGAAUCAUCCAAGGAAAAGAAAGGCAGCAUUGAAAAUGAUCAAUACAGUGAUAGCACUGAUGAUGACGGAAAAUCACCUAAAACAAAAAAGAAUAAAAAGAAAAAGAAGAAGAAGGAGAAGGAGAAGGAGAAAAAGAAUAAGAAUAAGAAACAGAAGGAGAAGUCUUAGGUGUUAUUUUGUCCUUGUCAUAUAACUCUGGGAUGAUGGUAGCAGCUUAUUUCUGGACUGAUUUUCUAACAUAGUUUUCUCACUUUCUUUUCCUCCACCCAAUUGUUUUUUGUUACUGUCAUUAGAAGAGGAAGGUAGACCUCAGAGUGAUUCAUCAUGUAUGAAGGAAUAGACUGAUAUGUUAGGAAGCACGUUUGUUGGUGGUCUUUCUCUAAAAGAAGAUUAGUAUUACUUUUGUCUUUGUGUAUCUAGUACAGUGGUCUUUACCUCACUUAGAACUAAGAUUGAUUUUUCUCAGUUAAUUCAGGUAUUUUUCCCCCACUUCAGACAGCGUGUUUGCUCGGUCAAAUUAAUUCUCAUGUGGAAUGAAAUGUUCUCAUGUGUUCCUCAGUAAACAGGCAAACAAAAACCUUUUCCAAGACGUCUGUUCCUUUUACACAUUCUGCACAGUUUUCAGCACUGUAUUAAAGUCUGCCACGUUUCAGGUAUGGCAUCACAUCUUGGUUCUAUUUUUUAAUUAAAUGUUCAAUAAAAUAAGCAGUAAGAAAAUAAGCAGUAAGAAAUUUUUUUCAUUUCAUUGGACCAACAGCAUUGUAGUUUUAGAAAAGGUAUACAUGUAUCUGACAUCUUGUAUUCAUUUUGAUCUCAAAUAAAGACGUAAAAUAAACAAAUGUGUACUAUUCCUUAGUUUUUGGGGUUUUCUUUCUUGAUUUUAUGUUUGAUAUUAUGUUUGAGUGGCUCCCAUCAGGAAGUACAUGUAGACUAUGCUUCCAGGAUGUAGGACACAAAAAAAAGGGUCACUAAUGUCCCUACAGCAUUUCAACAUCUGAACUGUAAGCCUUUCCCACCCCAGUAUUGCAUCCUUUUCUUGCUUCCUUCCCCACACAUUCAGUUCCUUGGUAAUUGAACUGAUCAUUGAAUCUGAACUAUGAUUGGUCAUUUUAUACUGAUGCUUUUAUGUUCUAUGUCUUAUGUGGUGGUCUCUGUGCCUUUUUAAUUGCCCCUUGGGGAUAAAUAAAGGGAAUUUGAAUUGUAUCAAUACA
ensembl:lncRNA